rnacentral:tRNA from 1 species
GGUUCCGUGGUUUAAUGGUAAAGUGUUCGAUGCGGUGCCAGAGUGUCCUGGGUUCGAUCCCCGCUUGGGUCG